UAGUCUGAAUCUAAGUCUUCUAUCCUUCCCUGGGGCCUCUCAAUCAGCUGGGACUGGGUCAUCUCCCUUGGAGAAUAUGCUUGAGUGUGUCAGAGUGAGCAGGCAUGUGUGUGAAGCUGGCAGAGACAGAGGGACAGAGGAAAAAAUAAAAAUAAGCAACCUGCAAAUUGACUCUCAGCUCCUUCAGCAACAGGAAAGAAAAACUUCACGUUUCCUAACAGAGAUGACAGACCAGAGCAUAUAAAUGAAUCUAAUUUAGAUGAAUCUAAAUGUUAUUGGGAAGAAAAUGCUGCUCGCUGAGUGUCUUCUAAUGAUGCCAGAAGAAAGAAGAGAAAGAAGCCUUUUGGUUUGGGUGUUGGGACAUCAUUCAUGAAGGUCAACUGGAUGCAGCUGAUGUAUGAGACCUCAUUGGAAAGAUGCUAUAGCUGUGAAAAUGCUGUAAAAUUCAUGACAGAUUGGGGACAAUAUAUGAAGUGCUAGUUAAUGGAUAAAAAUAAGGUCUACUUUAUAAAAUCACUUGUGUCAGAUGCUUAAGUUGUUCACAAGAGUGUCAAGAAGGAUCAAUAAUGGACAGAAAAUGCCAAUCAUCAAACAGAUAAAACUUUCAAUAUCCAAGACUUUAAGUGAAUAUCAGUUGAAGAGCAAUGACUUCAUAGAAACAUCAAGCCUUUCAGUCAUUCAGAAGAAAUUAGAGACUAGUUUUAAAAAUCAUCAUAUUGUCUUUUUCUUUUUAUUUAUUAAUUCAAAGAUGCUGCUAAGAGAUGUAAUUUCUCUGUGUUUCUUUACUAUCUACUUCUCUCAUAAACACACACUAUAUGAGGGUUUAUUCUUAAAUUGAACAGAAAAAUACAGAGAUAGAAAUUAUAAAUAGACACAUGGUUCAUUUUGUAUUUGUAUAUUUUAUGAAAUUCAUGAAUUUCAUGUAGUAACCAACCUCUUCGCAAUUACUUGGUGUUGUUGAAUUCUAUUUGCUAAUAUUUUGUUGAGGAUCUUCGCAUCAGUGUUUAUCAGAGAUAUUGGUCUAUAGUUUUCUUUCUUAAUGGUGUCUUUGUUUGCUUUUGGUAUUAGGGAGACAUGUGCCUCAUAGAAACUGUUUGGGAGAGUUCCUGUUUCUUCAAUCCCUGGAAAAGCUUGAGAAGAAGUGGCAACAGGUCCUCUUUAAAUGUUUGGAAGAAUUCGCUAGUGAAUCCAUCUGGACCUGGGCUUUUGUUUUUGGGAAGACUUUUGAUUACAGUUUCAAUUUCCUUGAUAUAAAUGGGUCUAUUCAGGUAUUCCAAAUCUUGGUUCAGUCUUGGGGGCAAUUACUUUGGGAACGUAAAGCCUGUCAAUAACCCUAUCUCGAAGACUACUGGUAUACCUCUUUGGCAUAAAUGCUUUAAUAAAUCACUUGGAUCUCUGUUUUCAAAGCUCAAAUCUGCACCUGUAGACUGACUUCAUUUCAAUAGAACUAUUUGUUUCAUAGAAAAAUUACAUAUAAAGACAGUUAAAUAAGUCCAUAAACUAAGGGUCAAUCCUUAAUUCAGAGAAUUCCUAGUUCUGCAGAACUAUUUUCAGCAAAUAAUCUCUUAUUACAGCAAUGAACAGUAGAACAUCAUCCCAUUGUUCAUCAAUUUGCUUGAAUGGGCACCAGUAAUGUCUCCAUUGUGAGGCUUGUUACUGUUUUUGGCAUAUAAAUACACCACGGAUAGCUUGCCAGGCUGUUUCAUAAACUUUCUAUUAUAAGCAAAAUU